rnacentral:lncRNA from 1 species
CAGAUGGGAGAGAAAGAGAAGUGGGGCUUGAGCAUCAGGAAGAGAGAUGGAACUGGAAAGUCCAGGGUGAAGAGGAGCAGCCUGCUCUCUAGGGAGAGCUGGCCCUAUCUCUUACAGGCAGCAGCAUUUGGAAAGUGAGCCCUGUGCCUCCACCAAGCAGCACAGUGGAGCUGGUCCUGGUGGCAGGGGUGUGGUAAUUCAGCCUGGAGGUCUUCAUUGUGGGAGAGCUGACCCUGCUAUUUGUCUGUUAUGAGAUGGCAUGGGCCCAGAGGUGAUGUGUGUGUGUGUGUGUCCCACCCCCGCCCUUCCCCCACCCCUCUGUUAACUCCAGCAGUUGAGAAAGCUGGCCACAAGGUCGUGAGCUCUGGAGAGCUAACCCUGCCCCUCACCGGUUGCAGCAUUUGGGAGAGCAGGCCUGACACCUGGCCUGAAGAGCACAGCAAAGCUGAUCUUAGUAGAGGUGCAGGGCGUGGGGGUGGGCGGUGGGCACGUGAACAGGUGAGCCAGCCGCAAGGGGGUGAGCUCAGGAGGACAGUGGUGUGGGUUUCGGGGUAUGCCCUACCCCUCAUCACCUCUCUCACCCGAGACAGU